GAGAAUUGCACGGACCGUAUAGACCACAGGGUCGCAGUCGGACACUACUGAGUGACCUUAACUUUCACUUUUCACGUUCCUGACGCCCAGCUGCGGCGGUUAGUUUGGGCAGGGAAAGAGAAACGCUGAACUUGUUUUCCAGACAGAAAAAUGCUAGGUAGCCGUGGCCUUCAGUUUUACAGGUGGCUGUGACCCAGGGCUCAUCUUUAGCGGGUGCUAACCUGGAAUCAAUCGCGUUAUCAGUUUGUUUCUUUUCAAAAAGGGCUGAUGACGCCACUGCUUUAAUAUUUCCAUGAACCUGUCAGUAUUUGAAAUUUGUAAACUUCAGGAUUUUCGAGGUGGACCACUUUUCACAAAGUAAUCACUCGCAUUUUGAAUACAGUGACCACAUGCCCUCAUGUGAUAGGAACCCAGAUGCCUUGAGUAUAGCUGUCUUUAUGAGAGACGUUGCUGCUGCUGCUGCUGCUGCUGCUAAGUGAGAGACAUUAUGCAGUGACUAAUUAAUGACUCACUGGAACUCUGUAUCUUGGUGCGUUUGCACACCUGGGACUUGUGACAAGUCCUUUUAUGAACACUCACCUUGGGUGAUUUGCAACUGCCGAUUGCCAGCCUUCGUCGAUUUUUCCAUCACUCUGUUUUGAACAUUUUUUUUUUGAAGUGUUGGGUUUCCGUGCCUUAGAUUUCAGCAAAAGACUUGCUACGCUUUCAAGAAACACCCCAUAUAUUGCGGGAUGCUACACCGUAGCGUUCUGACAGUUUUAAAGGAAUCGUUUACAUUUCAGAUGACGAAGUUGUUUGAAACCAAUAAAGAAAGAUGGUAGUCAUUUACAUAAUGAAAACCACUCUGAGGACAGAUCUCUGUCCUCCGCUCCGGGGAUGUCUUCAGGAGGCUGGGGGAGCUCGCAAGAACCAGACCCCUGGAAGCGGCAACGGUGGGGGCCGGGCCCCAUCUGCACACAAUUAACAGCCCAGAGGGUGCAGUUCCUCCCAAUCAGGGCAGCCAGCCGACCCUAAUGCAGACCAGAUGGACCAUUUCUUCACGUGCAAAUGGCGAGUUCAUUGCCCAUCAGAAUGAAGGAGAUACUUAAGGGAAGGAAUUUGAGUUGACAGCUCCCUGAUGCUCAGUCAUGUGGUGUGGAGGCCCAUGGCAGUCAGAUGACAUUCAUGACCGAGGCCUCAGAGCAUGCGGCUGUGGGGGCGGGGGUCCCCCGGCUGAGUUCAGGGUACUUCAGCGCUGGGCCAGUUACCGGAGCUGCAUUUACCCUAGAGGAUUCUCCGUGGAGGGCCAAGGAGAAGGGCAGGUUUGCAGUCUCUGGAGGUGCUCUGUGAGGAAAUAAAGGAAUGUUUGAGUCCCAAGACCUUGAUGGCGGAGGGAGACAGGAGUUCCUUGAAUAGAUCCCAGAGGAGGUGGCAGUGAACGCCUGCGAUGAUUCCUCUCUGAGACUCUCAAGCGGAGAUUUUUACCCCUGUUGCCAUGUCUUCCUCCUACUUCUUCCUGAGAGAAGAAUAAAGAAGUGGGCUGCUCCUACUUUUCCAGGCGUAUUCCUGAGAGGAUAACGCAGUGGGCUAGGUGGUUUCUUCGGUGAACAGUUCCACACCAUUUGCUUCUGCAGGGUGCUCCUUAUGGGGCAUUGGUUUCGGGGCUGAGGAGGGUGGAGGAGAACCCAGUUCUUGACACACACACACACACACCCACCCCUGGAGCUUGAGCUU